rnacentral:lncRNA from 1 species
CCCACUUUCAUUCACUCAACCUUUCUAAAGAUGUUGAAAUAACAUCACAUCCAAAUUAUCUGAAAUCUGUGCUUGUUUUACCCUUUUUUCCUUUCUUUUCAGCUGCAGCAUGGAAGCCAAAUGGUUUAAAGAGAAUAUUGCUUUAAGAAGUGGAUUUACAAGGCUACAUAACCACACACAGCAAGGGAUGACUUUUGCACGCUGCAGGUGCACAGAUCUCUCAUGGCAGGAAGGGGGCAAGACCCUGCACUUGCCCUGCUGGAGCGAGGGGGGCACGUGCACCUGUGUGAAAGAAGCAAAUGCUGGAUUGCUGCAAGGGCUGAGGGUUUGCUCACUGUGACAAGGGUGGAGAAAACCCUGAGUAACCUGGCCUGACCUCCUAGCUGACCCUGCUUUGAGCAGGAGGUUGGACAUAAACCUCCUGAGUUAUGAACUUGGACUAGCUUUAAAAAGAACAAAUAUACAAGAAGGGAGAAAAAGGAACUUUUUCUGUUAUGGUUCAUGUGAUUUAUUCUCAGUGCUUACCCAUGGAUGAGGUGAAUUGUUCCCUGGAACUGGUUCUCUCUCUCCCCGUGGGCUGCAAAUGUUGGUACUUGAAUGGAAAGGUUUGCCUUCUGUUGAUACAUAUAUUUGAUCACAUGAAUCCUACCUCUAAUUCUGGAUGAGACGGUAUGAUUUCUCUGAUCGUAAGAGCAGAAUUAUCCUCUGCUGCUGCCCAUCUUUCUGCAGGGCAGAGGAAGGUUCUGCUUUUAAUGAUGGUGACUCAACAAAGUGCCUAACGCUGAUAGCAUGUUCUCUGCAUUUGGUACAAUAGACAGCUGCCCACCCCCCUCUGAUAAAUUGUUCACAUGUUGGCAACGCUGGAUUCUCACAGCAGUUGCUUCUUGCCCAUCCAAAGGAUGCAGCAGUGAACAGGCUCAUUCAAACCUUCCCCUCUUUGGGCAGGCUCCGCCUUUGGUGGCCAACAAGCAGUAAAAUACCAAAGUCCUAAGGCCACUCAGCUUUAUUAGCAAUAUGAUGUGCAGUUACCAUCACUCAGUGUUUACGCUUGGAAAUCUCUGCAGCUCCCGAGGUUCUAGACCAGCACAUCAGCGGAGUGCCCACACCCUAACCACAAGAUUGCCAUAGAGGACAGGACUCUAGAGCAGGCGGUCCUCUCUUUUUCUCUCAUUUUGUCAUAUAAGAAUGGGAUGGUAUGUAUGCCUACCAUCUUCUGGAACUGCAUUUCUUGGCUGCCCUUUUCAGAGCUUCCUUUACCUCUGUGUUCCUCAAGCUGUAUAUAAGGGGGUUGGUCAGGGGGCUCACGACAGUGUGGAAGAGGGAUAACAUUUUGGUGAGGU